CUUCUUAAUGUACUAGAUCAGAAUUUUUGGCCCUUGAAAUGCUCCAAGAAACCGUGAUUUCCAGCACCCUUUUUGCAGCUCAAAAUGAUCUCCUAGUGUUAAGCUAAGUGUGGUGCAAGUUUGGUUGAAUUUGGAGAUGUUUUGGUGGUGGUUUGAGUAAGAUUUGUGAAGUAAAAUGAAGAACAAUGGAGCUUAAGAGAGAGA
rnacentral:lncRNA from 1 species